GUGGGGAAUCUUAGACAAUGGGGGAAACCCUGAUCUAGCCAUGCCGCGUGAUCGAUGAAGGCCUUAGGGUUGUAAAGAUCUUUCAGGUGGGAAGAUAAUGACUGUACCACCAGAAGAAGCCCCGGCUAACUCCGUGCCAGCAGCCGCGGUAAUACGGAGGGGGCUAGCGUUGUUCGGAAUUACUGGGCGUAAAGCGCACGUAGGCGGAUUGGAAAGUUGGGGGUGAAAUCCCGGGGCUCAACCCCGGAACUGCCUUCAAAACUCCCGGUCUUGAGUUCGAGAGAGGUGAGUGGAAUUCCGAGUGUAGAGGUGAAAUUCGUAGAUAUUCGGAGGAACACCAGUGGCGAAGGCGGCUCACUGGCUCGAUACUGACGCUGAGGUGCGAAAGCGUGGGGAGCAAACAGGAUUAGAAACCCUUGUAGUCC
rnacentral:rRNA from 1 species